CACCCCCUCAGGACUCCAGCAGUAUGGUGUAGGGAAGAUCGGCAGUGAGCACCAGGCCUUGAAAACCCGCGGCUUCUACACGUCGGACCAGCCCCUCUGAGAGUGCCCUGUUGCAAUGAAUGUACAGCUGGAACCAUCGGAAGCCAUUGGGUGCGGCUGCAGCAAUCUCCUCCACGGCGCAGGUGGAGAAUGUGCUGGUGAUGUAACAGGUGUUCAUGGCUUCAGCAGCUGCAGGAGAUAUUUUAAAAAGUCUCAGUACGAGGUGUUGAAGCUUCCUCACCAAUUCUGCCUGGAUACAAUGGAACGAAAUAAGAAGGUACCUCUUGCUGUGCUCUUCUCUCCAUCAGGCCAAGCCAGCCGGUGGAACGAAGUGGGGGCAAUCCCCACAGGGAAGCUGAUUUCAG